UACGUAGGGGGCAAGCGUUGUCCGGAUUUAUUGGGCGUAAAGAGCGCGCAGGCGGUCGUUCAAGUCGCGUGUGAAAGCCCCCGGCUCAACUGGGGAGGGUCACGCGAUACUGAUCGACUCGAAGGCAGGAGAGGGAAGUGGAAUUCCCGGUGUAGUGGUGAAAUGCGUAGAUAUCGAGAGGAACACCAGUGGCGAAGGCGACUUCCUGGCCUGUUCUUGACGCUGAGGCGCGAAAGCUAGGGGAGCAAACGGG
rnacentral:rRNA from 1 species